AGCCAAAAUCGUAACCACAAUCACAAUUUAAAACAAAGGCAAGUAGUAUACACUUGAGGAGCAUUUGACACUUGACAACAUAAGUUAAGGCUACAUUCCUUAACUAGAAUGAAUGAACUAUGAAGAUUAGCUAGUAGUGCAUAUAUGAAGAUUGUUCCAUAUAGUAGUUAAUAUGUUUUGCUUAACACAUAAUGGGAGAGAAGUCUGAAGUAUGUUGUUCUUGCUUUCAGUUUGCUUGACGAAAGAGAUUUCUAGCCCAUUUUCCUAUAAAGAAAGUCAGUUACAAAAAAAAGUAGACUAUCAAAAUAUAAAUUAAUAAUUGAAUGCAAAUGCCAUAGUGACAUACACAUCAGCCAUUCUCUUUUCCAUAGGCUCCAGAAAAAUAUUUGUAAAAUGAGAUAGUAUCCUUUAUGAAUUUUUCAUUUCCUAGAAGAUCAGAUUAAUGAAUACAAAGUGACAGUUUUAUACCACCAAAAAAAAUGCAGACUCAUUAUCAAAGAAAACACCAAUGCUCUCAAAUAUAUUAUAUAUUAGAUAUAUAUUAGAUAAGUUGACACAUAUUGGAGGAGUGUGGCUACUCUCCAUUAAUGGAGAGAGCGGUGCAUAUGUAUGAUUAUGACAUAUGACAAUAACAAAGAUCCAAUGGUUCAUAUUUUUACUUUUUUAUAAAUUAAUAAUUUUUAAAAAAUGUCUCAUCUCACAUUUUCAAUAUCGGAGAGUUCAGUACUGGAGAUGAUUCUUGUUCAUCUUCUGAUAUAUAUGAACUAUGGGAAUAUAACAUUUAUCCUCUAAACUUAACCAAGAAGAAGGAAUAUUAAUGUAUUGUUAUUGUCUUCAAAAUAAGUCAUUUAUGAAGAAUGCAUGCAUAAAUGUCUACUCAGCUACAAAGUCUUUAGAGUAAUCAUAGUUGUUCUUAAUGUUAUGUUUACCAGAAUAAGAACAUUCCUAAUGUAUUCUUCACUAUCUUAUUCUUAUCUUGUGAAUUUUGUUUAAAAAGAAAAACAAUUCUUGGCCAAAAAUUGGGCGCACAGUUGUAAAUAUAAAACUGUGGAGUAGGUUGUGAGACCCAAAUAAAAAUAAUAAUGAUGUUUUCUAUUGUGAGAAAAAAGCUAGAUGUUAUUCUUAUUUAAUGAGGAGUUAUAAUAAAUUCUAAAAAUUGUGUGAAAUCUAAAUAAAAAUGAAUAUAAUAUUCUCCAUUGGGUUUUUUUUUUUUUAAUAAAGAAAAAUUGUAUUAAAACGAGCACAAAGUGUGCCCACCUAAUACAAAAGAGAUUAAGCCGUCUCCACUGGGUUGCUCUUAUAUCCUCCAUAUUCAAUAAUUGUCAGAUAGGUGUGAUCUAAGACACUUUGGAUAAUUGGUGGCUUAUAUAUAUAUAUAGACAUAUAUAAGAAAAUCAUAACCAGAAACAUCAAGGCAUGUUAUAAUUUACUCUUUUAUUGUUAAAGUUUGCAAAAACACUCUUGCAAUUGUCAACUCUUCCGAGCCUUAUCGUAUUAAUUAAAAAGUUGUAAUGACAACCAUAACUUAAAUUUUGAAGGAAGACAAUCCAAUUUUACAGUAUCAUGAGAAAGUACCAAGCUCAAAGAUAUCUUAGAAACUUUUUUACUACGGGAUGGUGUAAUUCCAUCACAGUACAAUGGUUAAAUCUGGUGACAUACAUUUAAGAAUAUGCAACAACUACGUGUCAAAAAGCAAACACAACUUAGAGAGCUUUGAUAAUAAAUUCCACUAAGCCAAAGAAGAUAGAUUUGGUUAGAGUUAAUACCUUAGGAAAACACAGACACCUCAGUCAAAAUUAAGCACACACAUAUUGGAGCCGCUUGGUAUAAUAGACAAGUCUCUGAGAAUAUGACAUUUCUUCUCAUAAUUUGAUAAAUCUCUACUCAUUUAUAAAGUUAUGAUAUCCUUGAAAUUCAACAGUUAUCAGGUGUGGUCUAAUACAUCGGGAAACAUUGCUUACUUUAAGAUUGAUCAAAAAAUGGCAACAAAAAAACACAUCAAAACUUAAAAUUUAGGACUCAACAAACCUGGAAACUGUGAACUCUAAGAACCUGA
rnacentral:lncRNA from 1 species